rnacentral:rRNA from 1 species
AGUGGAUGGGGAGCGACCUAGUUGUGCGUGUGUAAAGGUAGUGCCAAGAAAAGCGAUGAUCAUGUUGAAAAUCAAUUCCCGGUACCCGAAACCGACACAGGUGGGCAAGUAGAGAAUACUAAGGGGCGCGAGGUAACUCUCUCCAAGGAACUCGGCAAAAUGACCCCGUAACUUAGGGAGAAGGGGUGCCACCGAGAGGUGGUCGCAGUGAAGAGGCCCAGGCGACUGUUUAGCAAAAACAUAGGUCUCUGCAAACUCGAAAGAGGAGGUAUAGGGGCUGACGCCUGCCCAGUGCCGGAAGGUUAAAGAAGUUGGUCAGUUUUAGGAUGAAGCUAGCGACUGAAGCCCCGGUGAACGGCGGCCGUAACUAUAACGGUCCUAAGGUAGCGAAAUUCCUUGUCGGGUAAGUUCCGACCCGCACGAAAGGCGUAACGAUCUGGGCGCUGUCUCGGAGAGAGGCUCGGCGAAAUAGGAUUGUCUGUGAAGAUACGGACUACCUGCAUUUGGACAGAAAGACCCUAUGAAGCUUUACUAUAGCUUGGAAUUGUGUUCGGGCUUCCUGUGCGCAGGAUAGGUGGGAGGCGUAGAAGGUAUUCUUGUGGGGAUACUGGAGCCAACGGUGAGAUACCACUCUCAGGAGGCUAGAAUUCUAACUUAAUUAAGGACAGUUUCAGGUGGGUAGUUUGACUGGGGCGGUCGCCUCCAAAAAGGCAACGGAGGCGUACAAAGGUUCCCUCAGACUGGUUGGAAAUCAGUCGAAGAGUGCAAAGGCAGAAGGGAGCUUGACUGCGAGAAGUACAGUUCGAGCAGGGUGGAAACACGGUCUUAGUGAUCCGACGGUGCUGUGUGGAAGGGCCGUCGCUCAACGGAUAAAAGUUACUCUAGGAUAACAGGCUGAUCUCCCCCAAGAGUUCACAUCGACGGGGAGGUUUGGCACCUCGAUGUCGGCUCAUCGCAACCUGGGGCGGAAGUACGUCCCAAGGGUUGGGCUGUUCGCCCAUUAAAGCGGUACGUGAGCUGGGUUCAGAACGUCGUGAGACAGUUCGGUCCAUAUCCGAUGUAGGCGUGAGAAUAUUGAGAGGAGCCUUCCUUAGUACGAGAGGACCGGGAAGGACGCACCGCUGGUGUACCUGUUAUGAUGCCAAUUGUAAACGCAGGGUAGCCAAGUGCGGAGAGGAUAACCGCUGAAAGCAUCUAAGUGGGAAGCCCACCUCAAGAUGAGUAUUCUGGUGUAAGGUCACGGGAAGACGACCCGUAAAUAGGCACGAGGUGGAAGUGCAGAGAUGUAUGAAGCCGAAGUGUACUAAUAGACCGUCGGCUUGACC